CGUCGAACGGCUGCUGACGGCCUUUUAGAAAUUAGAGGUUUUUCCCGCAAGGGACAGUAGUCGAGGUGCUGCAUGGCUGUCGUCAGCUCGUGUCGUGAGAUGUUGGGUUAAGUCCCGCAACGAGCGCAACCCUUUGUCCUGUGUUGCAACUUACAGGCACUCUCAGGAGACCGCCAGCGAUAAGCUGGAGGAAGUGGGGAUGACGUCAAGUCAUCAUGGCCUUUAUGUCCAGGGCUACACACGUGCUACAAUGGACGGUACAAACCGUCGCAAACCCGCGAGGGGGAGCAAAUCGGAAAAAACCGUUCUCAGUUCGGAUUGCAGGCUGCAACCCGCCUGCAUGAAGCUGGAAUCGCUAGUAAUGGUAUAUCAGAACGAUACCGUGAAUACGUUCCCGGGCCUUGUACACACCGCCCGUCACAUCACGAAAGUGGGUUGUACUAGAAGUCUGCGCGCCAACCGCAAGGAGGCAGCGGCCCAAGGUAUGACUCAUGAUUGGGGUGAAGUCGUAACAAGGUAAGCGUAGCGAG
rnacentral:rRNA from 1 species